rnacentral:rRNA from 1 species
AGUGAACGCUGGCGGUAGGCCUAACACAUGCAAGUCGAACGGCAGCACAGGAGAGCUUGCUCUCUGGGUGGCGAGUGGCGGACGGGUGAGGAAUACAUCGGAAUCUACUCUGUCGUGGGGGAUAACGUAGGGAAACUUACGCUAAUACCGCAUACGACCUACGGGUGAAAGCAGGGGACCUUCGGGCCUUGCGCGAUUGAAUGAACCGAUGUCGGAUUAGCUAGUUGGCGGGGUAAAGGCCCACCAAGGCGACGAUCCGUAGCUGGUCUGAGAGGAUGAUCAGCCAAACUGGAACUGAGACACGGUCCAGACUCCUACGGGAGGCAGCAGGGGGGAAUAUUGGACAAUGGGCGCAAGCCUGAUCCAGCCAUACCGCGUGGGUGAAGAAGGCCUUCGGGUUGUAAAGCCCUUUUGUUGGGAAAGAAAUCCAGCUGGCUAAUACCCGGUUGGGAUGACGGUACCCAAAGAAUAAGCACCGGCUAACUUCGUGCCAGCAGCCGCCGUAA